UAGGGGGGGCGUGUUAUACUGCAAGUCGAGCGGACUUUAGAAAAGCUUGCUUUUCUAAAGUUAGCGGCGGACGGGUGAGUAACACGUGGGCAACCUGCCCUAUAGUUGGGGAUAACUCCGGGAAACCGGGGCUAAUACCGAAUAAUACAUUCCUUCUCCUGUUGGAAUGUUGAAAGAUGGUUUACGCUAUCGCUAUAGGAUGGGCCCGCGGCGCAUUAGCUAGUUGGGGAGGUAACGGCUCACCAAGGCGACGAUGCGUAGCCGACCUGAGAGGGUGAUCGGCCACACUGGGACUGAGACACGGCCCAGACUCCUACGGGAGGCAGCAGUAGGGAAUCUUCCACAAUGGGCGAAAGCCUGAUGGAACAACGCCGCGUGAGUGAAGAAGGUUUUCGGAUCCUAAAACUCUGUUGUAAGGGAAGGACAAGUACAGUACUAACUGGCUGUACCUUGACGGUGGGGGGGAGAGAAAUCCACCGCUAACUAUAUGGCAGCAGCCGCGGUAUUACGGGGUCGCCACGCUUCUACAGAAUAAACGGGCGUAUAAGCGCGCGCAGGUGGUCCUUUAAGUCUGAUGUGAAAGCCCACGGCUCAACCGUGGAGGGUCAUUGGAAACUGGGGGACUUGAGUGCAGAAGAGGAAAGUGGAAUUCCAAGUGUAGCGGUGAAAUGCGUAGAGAUUUGGAGGAACACCAGUGGCGAAGGCGACUUUCUGGUCUGUAACUGACACUGAGGCGCGAAAACGUGGGGAGCAAACAGGAUUAGAUACCCUGGUAGUCCACGCCAUAAACGAUGAGUGCUAAGUGUUAUGGGGCUUCCACCCCGCCCUGACUCCGGUUUGGAGGCCCGCACUUGGGUAUCUUCGACCACGGGCGAAAGACGGAAGGAACAACGACGCGUGAGUGAAGAUGGGUAUUCUGAACCUAAAACUCUGUUGUAAGGGAUGACAACUACAGUACUACUGGGUGAACCUUGACGGGAGCGGAGGAGAUAUGCCCCCGCCAACUAUAUGCGAGAUGUCCACAUAAGUACAUGUUCGUCACGUUUCUCCAAAAUAAACCAGGUGCACCACCGCUGGUGGGGGGCCCUCUAAAAUUGAUUUGAAUCCCACUCUCGCAACCGUGCCCGCCAGGCGGAAUGCUGAGGGCUUUAGCUGCCAACAAAAGAAGGGGGGAAUACCCCCCUGAAACUGAGGAAUUCGUCGAUUAACUUGGGAGAACAACCAGGGGUAUCAAAUCCAUGUUUGCUGCCAAAUUACUUGACCCGCCGCACGGUGUAGUUUACAGGACAGAAAAGCUCGCCUUACCACACUUUGGGUGUUACUCCCCAGAUCCUAAACCGCAGAAAUUCGCACGCGCCUGCCUUGGGGAGAUUUCCGGCUU
rnacentral:rRNA from 1 species